ACAGAUGGAGGGAGGGAUUUCCACCAGGCAGUGAAGUCACAGCAGGAGACAGAGGCGGUGCUGGGUGUGGAUGGGAGACUAGCUGGACUGAACACAGGGCUGUGGGGGGUCAUAAUAGAUGGGCCAGGAGAGUAGGUUGGGACUGCACCCCAGAAGGCCUUGAGAGCAAUGGGUAGCAAUGAAGGAUUUGGAGCAAGGACCCCACAGGACUGAGGGAACCCAUCAGAAAUGAAUCACAGCACUGACUUAAGACAGCAGGUCAGCAAACAGUAUUCCUGGAAUCGGGUUGGAAUUCAGCCAUUCGGUCUGCUCUUGCAGGCAUUAGCUGGUCAAGGGAGAAGAAUACAACAUCAUUUCUGUGGUGUUCUUGCCAAAAAUACAUAAGCGACUUUAAUUAUGAGGAAACACCCGACAAACACAAAUGGAGAAAGUCUCUACCUUAUCUGGCUAGUACUUUUCAAGAAUGUCCAAGUCAUGAAAGACAAAGACCAGUGGAUUAUUACAGAUUAGAGAAGACUAAGGAGAUAUUGUGUCCGGAAUUGGUGGGUUCUUGGUCUCACUGACUUCAAGAAUGAAGCCGUGGACC